rnacentral:rRNA from 1 species
UAUUAUUAAUAUUGUAGAAUUAUAGUCUGAGUAGUAAUAGUUAAGAUCUUGAAACUUAAAGAAUUUGGCGGUGUUUUAGUCCUUUCAGAGGAAUCUGUUCCGUAAUCGAUAUUACACGUUUAAUUUUACUUAAUUUAGUUUUCAACUUGUAUACCGCCGUCGUAAGAAUAUCUUUUUAAAGGAAUUUUCUUGAAAUUAAAAGAUAAUAAGUCAGGUCAAGGUGCAGUUUAUAAUUAAGUGGAGAUGGAUUACAAUAAAUUUAUUUAUACGAAUUUGUAUUAAUGAAAUUGAUUAAUGAAGGUGGAUUUGAUAGUAAUUUUAUUGAAAUAUAAUAGAGUGAAUUGGGCUCUAAAAUAUGUACACAUCGCCCGUCACUCUCAUUUUCUUUUAAGUGAG